rnacentral:lncRNA from 1 species
AACUUUGAUGUAUGUAAAUUAAGUUCGAAUGUAUUAUUAUUUAGUAUUAUUCAGCUUAAAGAAAUGGUAUCGUGGAGAACCGAGUUCGGGUUUCAAGUACCCGGAUUUGGGGUCGCCACAGGUUGGUAUCAAAGCUGUAGGUUAUAAACGUUAGGAAUGCGAAACCUAGGUUAUAACCUUAGUAGAAUGGAGGACAAAAGUUAAGAUAGAUAUUCAGUGAACCAAGAGACGAAUUACUCUGGUGAGAAGUUAUAGGAUAUGAUGAGUCGAAGAGAUUCAUCAAGUGGUACUAAAUAAAAUAUUCCUUCAUUUUAUCGAUGAAUAUAUUUUAUUUUGGUACUAAUGUUGUCUCGAUUAUUGUGGUCAUAUGAUGAAUGACGAAAGUCAAGAAAGUAAUUCCUUGACCCAAGAGACGAUGGACUCUAGCGAGGAGUACACAGACAGUGAGAUGAUAAGAGAUUUGUUAGUUAGGAAUGAUGACUUAAAGGUUAGAGCUGAGCAAGCGAAGGC